rnacentral:rRNA from 1 species
UGGGGAGCUCUCCCAUAUGGUCGACCUGCAGGCGGCCGCGAAUUCACUAGUGAUUCGUAUUACCGCGGCUGCUGGCACAGAGUUAGCCGGUGCUUAUUCUGUCGGUAACGUCAAAACAGCAAAGUAUUAAUUUACUGCCCUUCCUCCCAACUUAAAGUGCUUUACAAUCCGAAGACCUUCUUCACACACGCGGCAUGGCUGGAUCAGGCUUUCGCCCAUUGUCCAAUAUUCCCCACUGCUGCCUCCCGUAGGAGUCUGGACCGUGUCUCAGUUCCAGUGUGACUGAUCAUCCUCUCAGACCAGUUACGGAUCGUCGCCUUGGUGAGCCAUUACCCCACCAACUAGCUAAUCCGACCUAGGCUCAUCUGAUAGCGCAAGGCCCGAAGGUCCCCUGCUUUCUCCCGUAGGACGUAUGCGGUAUUAGCGUCCGUUUCCGAACGUUAUCCCCCACUACCAGGCAGAUUCCUAGGCAUUACUCACCCGUCCGCCGCUCUCAAGAGAAGCAAGCUUCUCUCUACCGCUCGACUUGCAUGUGUUAGGCCUGCCCCCAGCGUUCAAUCUGAGCCAUGAUCAAACUCUAAUCGAAUUCCCGCGGCCGCC